UAGUCAUAUGCUUGUCUAAAAGAUUAAACCAUGCAUGUCUAAGUAUAACUCAAUUGAUGAGAAGACUGCGAAUUUCUCCUUAAAUCAGCAAUCGUUUAUUUGAUCGUAACUUUAGAAUUAACUAAGGUGUAAUUGGAUAACUGCGGUAAUUCUGGAGCUAAUACAUGCUAAAAAGGCGCGCGUUGCGGAGCGAUCCGUGGCGCGCGUCUGUAUUUAUUAGAUUUACAAAACCAAUUUGUCGGGCAUUUAUUCCAAACAGCAGCGAUGCUGGUUUGCUCGGCGCUAACAAUCGAUUGGUGAUUCACAAUAACUUUUUCUCGGAUCGUGAGCGCAGCGAUGCGCGACGACGUUUCAUUCAAAUUUCUGAUUUAUCAUCUUGUAGUCAAGGUAGUGACUUGACUAGGAUACGACGAAUACGGGGAAUUAGAGUUUGGUUCCGGAGAAUCCGCCUGAGAAACGGCGAAUACAUCCAAGGAUGGCAGCAGGUGCGCAAAUUGCCCAAUUCGAAAACCGAGAGGCAGUGACAAUAAAUAACAAUGCAGAAUUUGUUAAAAGUUUUGCAAUUGCAAUGAGUACAAACUAAAUCCAUUAACGAGUAGCAAGU
rnacentral:rRNA from 1 species